GUUAGGAAUAUUGGACAAUGGGCGCAAGCCUGAUCCAGCCAUGCCGCGUGAGUGAUGAAGGCCUUCGGGUUGUAAAGCUCUUUAGCCGAUGAUUAUAAUGACUGUAGUCGGAAAAUAAGCCCCGGCUAACUUCGUGCCAGCAGCCGCGGUAAUACGAAGGGGGCGAGCGUUAUUCGGAAUCACUGGGCGUAAAGCGUGCGUAGGCGGAUUUGCAAGUUGGGAGUGAAAGCCCAGGGCUCAACCCUGGAGUUGCUAUCAAAACUGCAAGGCUCGAAUUCGGGAGAGGAUAGCGGAAUUGUCAGUGUAGCAGUGAAAUGCGUAGAUAUUGACAGGAACACCAGUGGCGUAAGUAGCUAUCUGGACCGAUAUUGACGCUGAGGCACGAAAGCGUGGGGAUCAAACAGGAUUAGAAACCCGAGUAGUCC
rnacentral:rRNA from 1 species